rnacentral:tRNA from 1 species
GAGGGUGUAGCUCAGUGGUAGAGCACAUGCUUCACAUGUACAAGGUCCUGGGUUCAAUCCCCAGUACCUCCA